rnacentral:rRNA from 1 species
AACAAACGCUGGCGGCGUGCCUAAUACAUGCAAGUCGAACGGGGAAAGCUUUCGGGUGAGUACUAGUGGCGCACGGGUGAGUAACGCGUGGAUAAUCUGCCUUAGAGUGGGGGAUAACUAGUCGAAAGAUUAGCUAAUACCGCAUAAGACCACAAGAACUGCGGUUCAAGGGGUCAAAGGUUUUUCGCUCUAAGAUGAGUCCGCGUAAGAUUAGCUAGUUGGUGAGGUAAUGGCUCACCAAGGCGACGAUCUUUAACUGGUCUGAGAGGAUGAUCAGUCACACUGGAACUGAGACACGGUCCAGACUCCUACGGGAGGCAGCAGUAGGGAAUAUUGCACAAUGGAGGAAACUCUGAUGCAGCGACGCCGCGUGAGUGAUGAAGGCCUUCGGGUCGUAAAGCUCUGUCGCAAGGGAAUAACACAAUGAAUGUACCUUGCAUGAAAGGAUCGGCUAACUUCGUGCCAGCCGCCGCAGUAAGAC